rnacentral:rRNA from 1 species
GACGAACGCUGGCGGCGUGCUUAACACAUGCAAGUCGAACGCUGAAGCUUGGUGCUUGCACUGGGUGGAUGAGUGGCGAACGGGUGAGUAAUACGUGAGUAACCUGCCCUUGACUCUGGGAUAAGCCUGGGAAACUGGGUCUAAUACUGGAUACGACAUGCCACUGCAUGGUGGUGUGUGGAAAGGGUUUUACUGGUUUUGGAUGGGCUCACGGCCUAUCAGCUUGUUGGUGGGGUAAUGGCCUACCAAGGCGACGACGGGUAGCCGGCCCGAGAGGGUGACCGGCCACACUGGGACUGAGACACGGCCCAGACUCCUACGGGAGGCAGCAGUGGGGAAUAUUGCACAAUGGGCGGAAGCCUGAUGCAGCGACGCCGCGUGAGGGAUGACGGCCUUCGGGUUGUAAACCUCUUUCAGCACGGAAGAAGCGAGAGUGACGGUACGUGCAGAAGAAGCGCCGGCUAACUACGUG